rnacentral:snRNA from 1 species
UCUUGACAUUCUCUAAGCAAACAGAAAAUGAAAAAGUAACAUAUACUAAAAUUGGCAUGGCCCCAGCGCAAGGAUGACACGGAAAUCAGUGAAACAUUCCUCAUUAAU